AGGACGAACGCUAGCGGCAGGCUUAAUACAUGCAAGUCAAGGGGGUAGCAAUACAACCGGCGCACGGGUGAGUAACGCGUACACAACAUACCAUAUACUGGGGUAUAGCUUUGGGAAACUGAAGGUAAUCCCCCAUAACAUUGCGAGAGGGCACCUGAUUGCAAUUAAAGUUUCGGCGGUAUAUGAUUGGUGUGCGUUUGAUUAGCUAGUUGGUAGGGUAACGGCCUACCAAGGCGACGAUCAAUAGCUGGCGUGAGAGCGCGACCAGCCACACUGGAACUGAGACACGGUCCAGACUCCUACGGGAGGCAGCAGUAGGGAAUAUUGGACAAUGGGCGCAAGCCUGAUCCAGCCAUGCCGCGUGAUAGAUGAAGGCCCUCUGGGUUGUAAAUAUCUUUUUAUCUGGGAAGAAACUCCUCUAUUCUUAGAGGCCUGACGGUACCAGAGGAAUAAGCACCGGCUAACUCCGUG
rnacentral:rRNA from 1 species